rnacentral:rRNA from 1 species
GUCUACAGCCAUCCACCCUGAAUGUGCCCCAUCCCUUCUCAUCUGGGAAGCUAAGCAGAGUCGGGCCUAGCUAGUACUUGGAUGGGAGAAAGUAUGGAGGCUGGAGCUGAAGAGA